UUGGAGGGCAAGUCUGGUGCCAGCAGCCGCGGUAAUUCCAGCUCCGAUAGCGUAUAUUAAAGUUGUUGCAGUUAAAAAGCUCGUAGUUGAAUUUCGGGGUUAGUAGGUUGGUCGUGCCUCAGGUAUGUACUGAUCUCACUGAUUCCUCCUUCCUGAUGAACCGUAAUGCCAUUAAUUUGGUGUUGCGGGGAAACUGGACUGUUACUUUGAAAAAAUUAGAGUGUUUAAAGCAGGCUAACGCUUGAAUACAUUAGCAUGGAAUAAUGAAAUAGGACGUUCGAUCCUAUUUUGUUGGUUUCUAGGAUUGACGUAAUGAUUAAUAGGGAUAGUUGGGGGCAUUAGUAUUCAAUUGUCAGAGGUGAAAUUCUUGGAUUUAUUGAAGACUAACUACUGCGAAAGCAUUUGCCAAGGAUGUUUUCAUUAAUCAAGAACGAAAGUUAGGGGAUCGAAGACGAUCAGAUACCGUCGUAGUCUUAACCAUAAACUAUGCCGACUAGGGAUCGGAUGAUGUUAAUUUUUUAAUGACUCAUUCGGCGCCUUACGGGAAA
rnacentral:rRNA from 1 species